rnacentral:rRNA from 1 species
GACGAACGCUGGCGGCGUGCUUAACACAUGCAAGUCGAACGAUGAAGCCUAGCUUGCUAGGUGGAUUAGUGGCGAACGGGUGAGUAAUACGUGAGUAACCUACCUUUAACUCUGGGAUAAGCCUGGGAAACUGGGUCUAAUACCGGAUACGACCGAUCUCCGCAUGGGGUGUUGGUGGAAAGCGUUAUGUAGUGGUUAUAGAUGGGCUCACGGCCUAUCAGCUUGUUGGUGAGGUAACGGCUCACCAAGGCGACGACGGGUAGCCGGCCUGAGAGGGUGACCGGCCACACUGGGACUGAGACGCGGCCCAGACUCCUACGGGAGGCAGCAGUGGGGAAUAUUGCACAAUGGGCGCAAGCCUGAUGCAGCGACGCCGCGUGAGGGAUGACGGCCUUCGGGUUGUAAACCUCUGUUAGCAGGGAAGAAGAGAAAUUGACGGUACCUGCAGAGAAAGCGCCGGCUAACUACGUGCCAGCAGCCGCGGUAAUACGUAGGGCGCGAGCGUUGUCCGGAAUUAUUGGGCGUAAAGAGCUUGUAGGCGGUUUGUCGCGUCUGCUGUGAAAGGCCGGGGCUUAACCCCGUGUAUUGCAGUGGGUACGGGCAGACUAGAGUGCAGUAGGGGAGACUGGAAUUCCUGGUGUAGCGGUGGAAUGCGCAGAUAUCAGGAGGAACACCGAUGGCGAAGGCAGGUCUCUGGGCUGUAACUGACGCUGAGAAAGCGAAAGCAUGGGGAGCGAACAGG